GGUAGGCAAGGGAGUCAUCAGGUCAUCUUGUGGGGAGUUGUGAAGAAGGAUAGAGAAGGCUCUUAUCUGAGUCCUUGAGGAGGGCUGGAGACUUAUUCCUGAUGCUUCCAGUCAACAAAUUUCAUGAGAAGGGUUCAGUGGAAAUUUCACAGGAAGGCCUGGGACCUUAAGUUACUAGUGAGAGAAUGUAACCAACUGAAUACUAAGCUCUCUCAACAGCACCACACUACCUCUACAAUGAGAGUACCUACUGUGUUGCAGAGAUUAAAUUGUGUAGGCUCUGUGGAAAUGAAAUGAAUAAGACACAACCUGUUUCCUGGCAGAGCUCGUAUUUCGGAGGGGAAAGAGGCCGACACACAAAUAAGACAAUUCUGGAACACAAGUACAUUUAGAAAGGGUGGAAUGAGCAGAGUCACAGAAAAUAAGGAGGAUGGUUGUGAGGACCAAGAAUCAUUCAUGAAUAAGUGAAGAAAAGAAGCAGAGGUGUAUCGGUAAGAUCGGGCAAGAGCAGAAAAAAAUGAAGAUUACGCGAUAUGGAGGAAAGUCCUAUGGUUCCCUGUCCUUUGCUGAAAGCUGUGUUGCAAAAUAACAUUGACCUGCAGACAUAUGGUCUGGCUGGAUGAAGGGGCUCAACGAAUGCCAACUGGAGCUGGGAUUUCUCUUUCUAUCUCAUCUCUACAUUGUUUUGGUUGACUUUGACCCCAGGAGGGCUCUCUCCUCAUGGUCAGCAGCAGCUGUUAAUCUUUAGUGGUCUUGUUUUCAAAUCUCAUGCAAAAGAGUGAGAACCUUUGUCCCUGGAUUCCUAGAAGUGUCUCUUUGUCUAUAAGUCGGCCGGUGCCCAUCAUUGAACCAGUCACUAUGGCCUAGGUUAGUGUGCCAUGCUGAUUGGCUUAGGUCUGUGUCACACAUCAUCCUUAAGCUAUCUCUGGAGGGUCACCUGGAAUCCACGUGCUGAGAGAGAGGGGGAACUAGCGUCAGGGCACUGUUACCAGGAGAAACAUGAGUGAGUGCUGGGUGGUAAAAACAGCCAUUCACGGAUGUUACUGUUCUCCACGCAUGUUGGUUUUUCUAGUGUUCCCUUUUCAUUUUAGACCCAGUUAAAUGAACCAACGCCUUCUUAAUUCAAUUCCAUUCAGCAAUCAAGCACUGAGUACCUGUUUUAUGCCUGGCCCUGUGUUAGUCCCUGCAGGAACAGAGCUGAAAAAGACGUAUGGAUCCUACUUUGAAGAAGCUUAUAGGCAGGAAAACAUUUAAUCUCUCUUAUCUCUAAAUAACUAACAUAUUUUCUUAUAUUUCAUUGACAUGAUUUAAUCUUUUGGCAUCAUCAGUAUUUUCUGCCUUAGAAAGUAGGUUUAGGGAAGACAAGAAUGUGCUCUUUUUAGCUGUUCUGUACUAGUUCUCAGCUUUUCAGUGAAGAGUCUUCCAGUGGACAUUACUUAUCCAAGGGCUAAAAGGAUAUUGAGAACUCUUGAAGUUUGUCUGUUUAACUUCACACAUUGGUGACAGAUCAAAGUAAGGGAAAGGAACUCAACAACUGUCUUUGUGAACUGCAUUAUUAUUUAACUACUUCUGUCCUUUUUUUAAAAUUAUUAUUUUAUUGAGAUGACAUUGGUUUAUACCAUCGUGUAA